GAUUCAAGUUUGAAUAACUACCAAGUCACCAAAUGAUAGAUAGAUAGAGAACUAUCUAUCUAUCAUUUGGUGACUUGGUAGUUAUUCAAACUUGAAUC